rnacentral:lncRNA from 1 species
UAAAAACAUGAGGAAAAUGUUUUUGGGUGAUUUUAUGAUUGAAUCAAUGCAAAUUGUCAUACAUAUUUUGUAAAAACAAUAACGAAAUUGUGUAUUAAUCAUUUUAAAUAUUUCUUUUGUAGAUUUUUUGCUUUUGCUGUUGGUUACAUGUUGAGUUAUUCUUAUUUAGGUGUUUAAUGCAAGUUAUCUAAAAAAAAAUGAUUUGAAAAAAAAAAAACUAAUUUUUUUUGAGGUCCAAUAUAUGUUGCAUCAAUAUUGAAAACCUACAUUUUUUUUAACAGAGAGGAUAUUAAUUUGUAGUUUUUAAGAGAAAGAAUUUUCAUUGACAAUGAAUUUGUUUUUGAGAGAAAGACUUUUUAUUGACAAUGAAUUUGUUUUUGAGAGAAAGAAUUUUUAUUGACAAUGAAUUUGUUUUUGAAGGUAUACACAGUUGUAUCAUAUCUUACUAGCUCUGUCUAUUCUUUUUUGAACCAUUUGCCAAGCUUGUUGUUUGUCAAAGAACCUUAGUCAAACAAGUACUAUUGAGCUGCAUAAUAAUGAAAAAAUUAGUAUUGAUACAAGAAGAUUUAUGAGCCAAAUAAUUUGCAUAAUAAGCAUUCCAUAUCUUUAUCCUGCUCAAUUGUUCUCUUUACUUCCAGGUUCUCAGGGAUGACUGGUUUAUUUGGGGUUCAUAAUCUUUUUGACAAUCAGUUCUUUAAAAUUGACAUAUCAUUAUGCUGUCCCAACAAAGAGAAAUAUUAUAGUUUGUAAUGUUUGAUCACUGUUGUUAGGAAUGGUUCAGUCUUAAUGUUUAUGUGGUAGAUUUAUAAAGCUUAUUCCAAAAAGUAAAGUAACAUGGAAAUGAACCAUCACUGCACAAGUAUAAAAAUAAUUUUUAAUAAAUUCAGGAAUGUAUGACUUUAUGAGGGGUUUUAAAAAAGCUUUUGUCUCUAUUCAAUGGUAGUAAAUGCUAUGCAGAAAAUUUUUAAUUUUUGUCAAAUUUUCUAUAAAUAAUUGCUUCUUCAUGAUGUUAUUUUAUCCUCUUUAAAUCAUUAUUUUUCACUUUAAUUAUUGAGAUCUUAUCCAAAUAUUUAAGGUCUUUUAGGUUUUGCAUAAUUUUGAACAAAUUUCAUUAGAAGGGGCAAUAUUGGCAGUUCUAACACCUAUGAGCAAGAAUCAGCUAGAGCAUUGAAUAUAGAGCAGAUAUUUCUAUCUUGACUUAUGCAGUGAAAAUCAUUCCAAUACUGCAUUUUGCUUUGUUGUUUUUUUUAUCUAAAAAUAGUGAUCUCUCCUUGAUGUUAUGUGAUUAUCAUUGCCUUUUAACAAACUAAUCCAUCCAGAUAAAUUCUAUGCAGACAAAAAUAUCAUUCCAGAAGAAUUGUAAAUAUUUGUUGUUUUGUACUGCCAAAUUUUUUAAUGGCAAUGCAUUGUUAAGAAUAUUUUAAGCAUAUCGUGAAAUACAUAUUUUUGUAUUUUUCUCAGAAUUCCAGAACUAUCUGUCAUCAUAUCUUUUAUAUACGAGAUUUAUCAUAAUUUUUUCUUGUCUCUAAUAAAUUGUUAUAAUUCAAUUAUUUUAAUUUGUCAUGAUUCAAUUAUUUUAAUUUGUCCUAAAUCAAUAUUUUAAUUGUCAUAAUUCAAUAUAUUUUUGUAUGUAAAUAAUUGUGUAAUUUUAUGUUUCAAGAAAUCCAACGCAUAAUGCCAUUACUUUUUUGUGUAAUCAUGAUAUAGAAUAUAUUUAAUCUUAUAAAUAAUUUUAUUAUUACCAUUAUAUAUGUAUAUUUACAUUUAGAUUUACCUUCUGUUUUCUUAGUUAUACAUGUAUUAGCUUUAUUUGGGUUUUAAUAUUUGCCAAAAGAUAGUGUUAUACUUGCAGUGUGCAAUAUGCAGUUUAUUUUUUGAUUGAAAUUGGCAAUGUCAAGUUAUAGCCAGAAUUGGUAUCUUUGACAGAGGUACAACCAGAACGUGAUGAUUUUUUCAAAUGAUUCAAUAGUCACAAGAAUAUUUGUGCAAUAAUUGUUUUAUUGAAUGUCUAAACUUUAGAAAUUGAAAAGGUACUAUUUGAAAAUUCUCUUAAUGUAACAGUUCUUAAAUAUAUUAGUCCUGUGCAGGUCUAUGGAAUUUUUACCUGCAAGUGCAGUAAUAUAGAAUGUUGCCUGUGAGUGCAGAACCACAUCUUCUGAAAAAAUCAUUAAAGUUUGUCAUAUGUAUUAAGACUCUUUUAGUUAACCUUUUGGAGGUGCUUAUACUAGUUUUUAUCAAUUAUUUAGCCAUGGAAAAAAGUAUCAUGUUACUUAUUGUGGGAAAGAAUAUUAUAUAGUAAUACUUCACCGGGUUUCAUUGUUUAUUAUUAGGGCGAAUAUUGUUUUAAUUCAAUUGCUUAUGAAGAACAAUGACGAAGAAUUUUUAGUUUUAAUCUUUUGUUUUUUUAAACAUAAACAAAAUUAACUUUAAGAUAUGAUCUAGAAAGUUAUUUUUAUUCUUUUUCUUAGAUUAUUAGUUCCAUUAAUUUUAAUUAUUUCAUUAUUUCUUAGGUUCAGGUUUCUUGGUUUUGUUACAAAUGCACAGAUUUAGAUUGGGAGCUUUUCGUCUAGUUUUCCCUCAGUUUUAGUUUGUAACCCCGAUUUUUUUUCUUUCUCUCAAUUGAUUUAUGAUUUUCCAGCAGCAGUAUACUACUGUUGUCUUUAUUUAGAAAAACAUAAUCUUCCUCAAAAUUUAGUUGACUAUUUUCUUUGGUAUUAACUUGCUGGUUGUGAUAUGUCCUUCUUUAAACAUGUGAUCUCUGUUGCUGCUUUGUACAAUGUCAGGAGCUUUAUUUAAUGUUUGAUACGCUUUUGUGAUCUUGAUAUUGUAAAGUUUUUUGUUAAAUUUGAAAAUUUGUUUGUGACUGAUUGUUAAAAGGAGUUUUUGUGUUAAUGGAUAAUAUUUCUGCAUAUAAGGCUUAUUUUGGGGGGUAUAAAUGAACAAUACCCAUUUCAAAUUUAACAUUCACUUAAAAAAAAUUAAUAAAUUUUUAAAUUAAUAAAUAAUUUUAAUAAAAAAUAAAGUUGAAAUUGUUUAAUAUAAACAGUACUUUUAUGAAUUGCUAUAUGUAGCCAUUUGAAAUAUUUUUUUUAUAUAAUCUAAAAAUUUGGACAUCUGUUUAAGCUGUUAAGAAAGUGAAAAUUACUUUAUUUUAUAUCCUUUAAAUACAAGUUACAGAAGAUUUCGUUUCAGUUAUGUCUCGAAUAACAUUCUUUUAAUUACUAGUAGCAAGGGUUAAAGUGAAUAUGUACAGUGUUAAUGAGCAGUUUAAAACAUUCAUUUUUUUUAUUGAAAAAAUCAUUUGUUAGCUUUAUUGUCUUAAAAUUGUUUAUUUUUUGUAUAAUAAUUUUACUAACAAAAUACAUAGAUUAUUUGAUUCAGCUAUUUUUAAAUGAUUCAAGAGAAGUUUUGAAUUUUACCUUUGGUCUUUCCUAAAAUCUUUCACAAUGUUUUUAUGUUUAAAAAUUUAAAACUUCACCUCAAUAUGGUUUCAAAUGUUGAUUUAUCCAAAUGACUUCAGUUCAAAAGUCACCAACUUAUGAUCAUGACAAGUGUUCUAUAAUAAAAUUUAAAAUUACCAUACAUAUUUACUUUUUAUCAACAUGUAUAUUUUGAACGUGCCUUACUUUUCCAUUUACAUGUUAUGUAAAUGUUUCACAGAUCAAUAAAAGUACUUUUACAUG